AUGGGCCCGCGGCGCAUUAGCUAGUUGGUGAGGUAACGGCUCACCAAGGCGACGAUGCGUAGCCGGCCUGAGAGGGUGACCGGCCACACUGGGACUGAGACACGGCCCAGACUCCUACGGGAGGCAGCAGUAGGGAAUCUUCCGCAAUGGGCGAAAGCCUGACGGAGCGACGCCGCGUGAGCGAAGAAGGCCUUCGGGUCGUAAAGCUCUGUUGUGAGGGGCGAAGGAGCGCCGUUCGAAGAGGGCGGCGCGGUGACGGUACCUCACGAGAAAGCCCCGGCUAACUACGUGCCAGCAGCCGCGGUAAUACGUAGGGGGCGAGCGUUGUCCGGAAUUAUUGGGCGUAAAGCGCGCGCAGGCGGUCUCUUAAGUCUGAUGUGAAAGCCCACGGCUCAACCGUGGAGGGUCAUUGGAAACUGGGGGACUUGAGGGCAGGAGAGG
rnacentral:rRNA from 1 species